GUGCUUGCUUAGGCUCCACAUACAAUAAAAAUUGGAGCGAUACAGAGAAGAUUAGCCUGGCCCCUGUGCAAAGAUGACAUGCAAAUUCAUGAAGCAUUCCAUAUUUUU
ensembl:snRNA U6 U6 spliceosomal RNA